GCCUGGGUGGCUCAGUCUGUUGAGCACCCGACUUCGACUCAGGUCAUGGUCCUGCGCUUUGUGGAUUCGAGCCCCACGUCGGGCU
rfam:Felis catus isolate Cinnamon breed Abyssinian chromosome C1, whole genome shotgun sequence.